rnacentral:rRNA from 1 species
UACGGAGGGUGCAAGCGUUAUCCGGAUUCACUGGGUUUAAAGGGUGCGUAGGUGGGCAGGUAAGUCAGUGGUGAAAUCUCCGGGCUUAACUCGGAAACUGCCAUUGAUACUAUCUUUCCUGAAUACCGUGGAGGUCAGCGGAAUAUGUCAUGUAGCGGUGAAAUGCUUAGAUAUGACAUAGAACACCAAUUGCGAAGGCAGCUGGCUACACGAAUAUUGACACUGAUGCACGAAAGCGUGGGGAUCAAACAGG